rnacentral:misc_RNA from 1 species
AUAGGAUAAAAGCUAGUCCUAGAAAGAUAGAAAAACAUAAUAAAUUCCAAAAUUAAGUUGAAGACUCCUAAGAUAAUUUAAAACAUGCCCUGCAGUUGUUGGAAGAAAAAAACAAGCAUUCCUAUAUGAGUUAGGGCUGUUGGGAGCUGAAAUUAAAUCAAAGAAACAUGGAUGCUCUGUUUUCCCCUGUUUUCAGAUCUGUAUAUAGCUGGAAUGCUCUGUUUUUCCCAUAUUUCAGACCUGCGUUCUUCCUUAGCCUCUUUCUUGUUGUUUCUCCCACUGUUCCAAAAAUUCUUCACUUGUUUCGUCCACAUCAAUAACUUAAUAAUCAUUCAAAUCUUUCAUAAUGUAAGAAGCUCAACAAUUUUAAUGAAACAUUGUUUCAGAAUUAUGAUGAAAUCGGUGUGCAUCUCAUAUAUUCUUAUAACCAUGCUUCUAUUAGAUGCUCAAAAGUUAUGUUAAUUUGUUAUGGAAACCUUGAUACUUAGCAGUUUUUGGUGACCUCUCUGUUAUGGG